AUACAGAGGGUGCGAGCGUUAAUCGGAAUUACUGGGCGUAAAGCGCGCGUAGGCGGUUUGGUCAGUCGGAUGUGAAAGCCCCGGGCUUAACCUGGGAAUUGCAUUCGAUACUGCCAGACUAGAAUGUAGGAGAGGGAAGUGGAAUUCAGGGUGUAGCGGUGAAAUGCGUAGAGAUCCUGAGGAACAUCAGUGGCGAAGGCGACUUCCUGGACUAACAUUGACGCUGAGGUGCGAAAGCGUGGGGAGCAAACAGGAUUAGAAACCCCGGUAGUCC
rnacentral:rRNA from 1 species